rnacentral:rRNA from 1 species
GUGGGGAAUAUUGGGCAAUGGGGGAAACCCUGACCCAGCAACGCCGCGUGAGGGAAGAAGGUUUUCGGAUUGUAAACCUCUGUCCUUGGUGACGAAGGAAGUGACGGUAACCAAGGAGGAAGCCCCGGCUAACUACGUGCCAGCAGCCGCGGUAAUACGUAGGGGGCAAGCGUUGUCCGGAAUGACUGGGCGUAAAGGGCGUGUAGGCGGCCGAUUAAGUCUGGAGUGAAAGUCCUGGUUUCAAGGUGGGAAUUGCUUUGGAGACUGGUUGGCUUGAGUGCGGAAGAGGUAAGUGGAAUUCCCAGUGUAGCGGUGAAAUGCGUAGAGAUUGGGAGGAACACCAGUGGCGAAGGCGACUUACUGGGCCGUAACUGACGCUGAGGCGCGAAAGCGUGGGGAGCGAACAGGAUUAGAAACCCUUGUAGUCC